rnacentral:rRNA from 1 species
CACGUAUUUAGCCGUCACUUCUUCUGUUGGUACCGUCAUUUUUUCUUCCCAACUGAAAGCACUUUACAUUCCGAAAAACUUCAUCGUGCACACAGAAUUGCUGGAUCAGACUCUUGGUCCAUUGUCCAAUAUUCCCCACUGCUGCCUCCCGUAGGAGUGAGGGCCGUGUCUCAGUCCCCUUGUGGCCGAUCACCCUCUCAGGCCGGCUACCCAUCAUCGCCUUGGUGAGCCGUUACCUCUCCAACUAGCUAAUGGGACGCAAAGCUCUCUCACAGCGCAUAUAGCUUUCAUAAUCCUAAGAUGCCCUAAAAUCAUAAUAUCAGGUAUUAGCAUUCGUUUCCAAAUGUUGUCCCUAUCUGUGAGGCAAGUUCUUUACGCGUUACUCACCCGUCCGCCACCCAAACCGAAGUUCAAGUUGACUUGCAUGUGUUAAGCAUUCUGUCAGCGUUCAUCCUGAGCCAGGAUCAAACUCU